rnacentral:rRNA from 1 species
UACGUAGGGACCGAGCGUUGUCCGGAAUCAUUGGGCGUAAAGAGCGUGUAGGCGGCCACUUAAGUCCUGCGUGAAAUCUUGCGGCUCAACCGCAAGCGGUCGUGGGAAACUGGGUGGCUAGAGUGCGGGAGAGGAGACUGGAAUUCCUGGUGUAGCGGUGAAAUGCGCAGAUAUCAGGAGGAACACCGGUGGCGAAGGCGGGUCUCUGGGCCACUACUGACGCUGAGAAGCGAAAGCAUGGGGAGCGAACAGG